CAACUCUAUGCGGUGGAUCACUCGGCUCGU
rnacentral:rRNA from 1 species